rnacentral:rRNA from 1 species
GUAGGUGGCAAGCGUUGUCCGGAAUUAUUGGGCGUAAAGCGCGCGCAGGCGGGUUCUUUAAGUCUGAUGUGAAAGCCCACGGGCUCAACCGUGGAGGGUCAUUGGAAACUGGAGAACUUGAGUACAGAAGAGGAAAGCGGAAUUCCACGUGUAGCGGUGAAAUGCGUAGAGAUGUGGAGGAACACCAGUGGCAAAGGCGGCUUUCUGGUCUGUAACUGACGCUGAGGCGCGAAAGCGUGGGGAGCAAACAGGAUUAGAUACCCUGGUAGUCCACGCCGUAAACGAUGAGUGCUAAGUGUUAGGGGGUUUCCGCCCCUUAGUGCUGCAGCUAACGCAUUAAGCACUCCGCCUGGGGAGUACGGCCGCAAGGCUG